GAAAUUCCUUUUCCAGAGUUCUCACUUACUAAUUUGGCUAACAUUACCAAUGGUAACAGACCCCACGUAUCCACCACAAUUGCUGUGAGUUGCACAGGAAAAAGACUGGGAGGAAAUCUUCACUUUUCUUCUGCAACAGCAACCAACAGAAAUGAAAAAGCCAGGGGAUUUUGCAAAAUAUCAACUCCUGAGAACUAAGAAUGAGAGCCUUUCCUGCCAAGCCCAUUCUGUGCCAGUCAUCAUAAAAUACAUGACCCUUCCUUCCAGAAGAACAAUGUGCUGUGAUCUUUGGCUACUCAAGCUUUACAUCAUCCAUAUUACCCUGCAGCAGGAACAGAUUGAUGGGUAUUUUCACUGCCCCCAGAGGGUUACCCUCUAAUCCUUCAUUUGCUGCUCCAGCACAAUUGCAUGGAAGCAAUAGCAGGGAUAGUUAGAGUGCAUACAAUUGAUUCCAAUCCAUCCAUCACUUAAACUACUGUCUAGGACAUCAGGAGGCCAGGAUUGUAUAGCACAUCCUUGAAUUGUGUUUAUCCAAUCCACAUUUCUCUUCUGCUGGACAUUCAGAGGACUGUUUCUCACUAACAUCAGAGGAGAAAUCUGUCUUGGUGUUGGAGUCUCUUGGAAUUCGUGACAAGGAAAAAAGUACACCAAGUAAACUAGUAAAACAAAA
rnacentral:lncRNA from 1 species